CCUACGGGAGGCAGCAGUAAGGAAUAUUGGUCAAUGGAGGCAACUCUGAACCAGCCAUGCCGCGUGCAGGAAGACGGCCCUAUGGGUUGUAAACUGCUUUUAUCUGGGAAUAAACCUAUUUACGUGUAAGUAGCUGAAUGUACCAGAAGAAUAAGGAUCGGCUAACUCCGUGCCAGCAGCCGCGGUAAUACGGAGGAUCCAAGCGUUAUCCGGAUUUAUUGGGUUUAAAGGGUGCGUAGGCGGCAGUUUAAGUCAGAGGUGAAAGACGGUAGCUCAACUAUCGCAGUGCCUUUGAUACUGAAUUGCUUGAAUGAACUAGAGGUAGGCGGAAUGAGGCAAGUAGCGGUGAAAUGCAUAGAUAUGUCUCAGAACACCGAUUGCGAAGGCAGCUUACUAUGGUUUUAUUGACGCUGAGGCACGAAAGCGUGGGGAUCAAACAGGAUUAGAUACCCUGGUAGUCCACGCCCUAAACGAUGAAUACUCGCUGUUAGCGAUAUACAGUUAGCGGCUAAGCGAAAGCGUUAAGUAUUCCACCUGGGGAGUACGCUCGCAAGAGAGAGACGAAGAGUAGAGNGNGAGAGNGCGACGGACGACGACGAGGGAGGAGG
rnacentral:rRNA from 1 species